GUGGACGUGGCCGAGUGGUUAAGGCGUUGGAUUUAGGCUCCAAUGCGAAAGCGCGUGGGUUCAAACCCCACCGUCCACA